rnacentral:sRNA from 1 species
UACCAGAGUAGGUUGCCCGGAGCUCCCC